UUUCUCUUCUUUUCUAGUUCUGAAAAACUAUAUCCAACCUCAAACCGUAUCUGUCAAAUUGCUGCUCUGUAUAAAUAAUUUAUGUUUCAUGUGUUCGCAAUUUGUUGCUAGCUAAAGCUCUCCAUAUAGUCUGGAUUUGCAAGAAAAAAUUAAGAAUUUUAUUUUUCGCGUAGUAUCUCAAAAUUCUCAAAACGUAGCGAAAAAUCGGUGUUAUAGGUAUAGAUCAUGUAGUGAUAAAUGAGAGUUGCGGCAUCUCUGUAUAUUCAGUGUACACAGAUCUGGGGUGUGUAAACAGUACACAGUUUUUCUAUACCAUAGCAUGAAAGAUUUGUUGUAUAAAACUGAAAAUUAAGAAGGUAUACGAUCAUCAGUAAACUGUAAAAAUUAUCCUAUGUGCACAACAAUACUUCUCCGAAACAUUUAAGAGCUUAUACCAAGGUUUCAUGAUGCCGGGUCUGUCAGGAGAUUUAUGUACUGCAUGAAGUUCACAAGUGAAGGAAAUCAGGAAACUCAUGAAGUUCUAUUUCAAGAAAUCUUUAAGAAAAGAAAAAGAUGGAGUUGUGGAGUACUUUACAAUAAUUAGAAACCUAAUUAAAAUAUUGUUCUUUUUUUCAUUAAUAAAUGGUUAAGCCCA